AUGUUUUCUUUACCCUUUUUUGUCCUAACAGGCGGCAAUGGUGGACUUGGUGGCUUGUAAGGCGGUGCUGGAGUUGUUGGUGGCUUAACUGGAGGUGUAGGAACUGGGGGCUUAUAUGGGGGAGUUGGUGCUUUAGUUGGUGGUGCUGGUGCUGGAGUUGGUGCUUUGGUUGGGGGUGCUGGAGCAGGUGUUGGGGGCUUAUAUGGGGGUGUAGGGGCCUUGACUGGAGGUGCCGGUGCGGGAGUAGGGGGUUUAUAUGGGGGAGUAGGAGCCUUGGUUGGUGGUGUUGGUGCUGGGGGCUUAUAUGGUGGAGUAGGAGCCUUGGUUGGUGGCGCAGGAGCUGGGGGCUUAUAUGGUGGAGUAGGAGCCUUGGUUGGUGGCGCAGGAGCUGGUGGUUUAUAUGGUGGAGUGGGGGCCUUGGUUGGUGGUUUAUAUGGUGGAGUGGGGGCCUUGGUUGGGGGUGCUGGAGUUGGGGCCUUGUACGGCGGUGCCGGAGUGGUGGGAGGCUUAACGGGUGGAGCAGGGAUAG
rnacentral:lncRNA from 1 species